rnacentral:rRNA from 1 species
UGAGCAACCUGCCCUUGACUCCGGAAUAACAGCUGGAAACAGCUGCUAAUACCGGAUAUGACCUCCGAUGGCAUCAUCUGGAGGUGGAAAGCUCCGGCGGUCAAGGAUGGGCUCGCGGCCUAUCAGCUUGUUGGUGAGGUAACGGCUCACCAAGGCUUCGACGGGUAGCCGGCCUGAGAGGGCGACCGGCCACACUGGGACUGAGAUACCGGCCCAGACCUCUACGGGGAGG